AGGAUGAACGCUGGCGGCGUGCCUAACACAUGCAAGUCGAACGUCCUGUCUCGCAAGAGGCAGGGAGUGGCGGACGGGUGAGUACCACGUGGGUUAUCUACCGUGAGGUGAGGAAUACCGGCGAGAAAUCGCCGACAAGACCGCAUAGCCUCGGUGCAAGCCGAGGAAAGCUUUCUCGAGAGAGGGUGCGCCACACGAGGAGCCUGCGCCCGAUUAGCUAGCUGGUGGAGUAACGGUUCACCAGGGCGACGAUCGGUAGCUGGUCUGAGAGGACGAUCAGCCACACUGGGAUUGAGAACGGCCCAGACUCCUACGGGGGGCAGCAGUGAGGAAUUUUCGUCAAUGGGGGCAACCCUGAACGAGCAACGCCGCGUGCAGGAAGAAGGUUUUCGGAUCGUAAACUGCUUUUCGUCGGGAAGAGAACGGACGGUACCCGAGGAAUCGAGCCCCGGCUAACUACGUGCCAGCAGCCGC
rnacentral:rRNA from 1 species